AUGAUAGUGAUGUUUGAAGGCGAUGUGUCUUUUUGUUUUGCUUCUAUUUUGUUGCUUGUUUUACUGUUUGCGUUUGGAUGCAUGAACGCUUUUGUUUCCAUCGUUGCGCCUAUUUUGGAGUUCCCAGGAGAAUCACAGCAGCUACCAACGGACGCAGAAGAGAUAUGUGCCAUAUUUUCUCCAGCCGAAGAACAUUCCGUCAAUGACCAGCCUAAAGAACAGCCAGAUGAGGAUGAGGUGGCAAGCAUGGAAGUAACCCACAGGCCACAGCCAGUUUUCUUCAUAUGCGGCAUUGUACAAACAAUAUGA
rnacentral:rRNA from 1 species